rnacentral:rRNA from 1 species
AGUGAACGCUGGCGGUAGGCCUAACACAUGCAAGUCGAACGGCAGCACAGUAAGAGCUUGCUCUUACGGGUGGCGGGUGGCGGACGGGUGAGGAAUACAUCGGAAUCUACUUUUUCGUGGGGGAUAACGUAGGGAAACUUACGCUAAUACCGCAUACGACCUACGGGUGAAAGCAGGGGAUCUUCGGACCUUGCGCGAUUGAAUGAGCCGAUGUCGGAUUAGCUAGUUGGCGGGGUAAAGGCCCACCAAGGCGACGAUCCGUAGCUGGUCUGAGAGGAUGAUCAGCCACACUGGAACUGAGACACGGUCCAGACUCCUACGGGAGGCAGCAGUGGGGAAUAUUGGACAAUGGGCGCAAGCCUGAUCCAGCCAUACCGCGUGGGUGAAGAAGGCCUUCGGGUUGUAAAGCCCUUUUGCUGGGAAAGAAAAGCAGCAGGUUAAUACCCCGCUGUUCUGACGGUACCCAAAGAAUAAGCACCGGCUAACUUCGUG